CAGUCGCCGCGGUAAUACGAAGGGUGCAAGCGUUAAUCGGAAUUACUGGGCGUAAAGCGCGCGUAGGCGGUUACUCAAGUCAGAGGUGAAAGCCCGGGGCUCAACCCCGGAACUGCCUUUGAAACUAGGUGACUAGAAUCUUGGAGAGGUCAGUGGAAUUCCGAGUGUAGAGGUGAAAUUCGUAGAUAUUCGGAAGAACACCAGUGGCGAAGGCGACUGACUGGACAAGUAUUGACGCUGAGGUGCGAAAGCGUGGGGAGCAAACAGGGUUAGAUACCCCAGUAGUCCCUGUCUCUUAUAC
rnacentral:rRNA from 1 species